rnacentral:rRNA from 1 species
UACGUAGGGUGCAAGCGCUAAUCGGAAUUACUGGGCGUAAAGCGUGCGCAGGCGGUUCUAUAAGACAGAUGUGAAAUCCCCGGGCUCAACCUGGGAACUGCAUUUGUGACUGUAGAGCUGGAGUGCGGCAGAGGGGGAUGGAAUUCCGCGUGUAGCAGUGAAAUGCGUAGAUAUGCGGAGGAACACCGAUGGCGAAGGCAAUCCCCUGGGCCUGCACUGACGCUCAUGCACGAAAGCGUGGGGAGCAAACAGG